GUAGCUUAAGGUUCGCUUUCAGUGAGCUUAGAUCCAUAGGUUUGGUUGGUUAUUUGUGAUUUUGGGUGGUAGAUUCUUGUUCAACAGGUUCUAUUAGAGCAGGGUGUUGAGUUUUGGUGAAUUUAUGGGUAGGUGACGGAGGCGAUGUCGUGAGAUUCUUGGGCGACACCGUGAAAUUCAUACCACCCUGUCUUUUUUGCAUCAGGUUUGGGUGACUUUGGAGAGCCAAAGUUACCAUAACUUUGUCUCUAUCUCUCUCUUAGUUUACUCUCUCUCAUCCUCUAUAUUAUUUCUUCUUUAUUUUUUAUUAACAUAAUCAACACAAAAUGCACUAAAGUCACCGUAACUUUCCCGCCACAAAGUUACCGAAUCUGUUCCCGUCUUUUUUAGUCCCUGUUCUGGGGGUUUUGUUGUUGGACUUUGUUUGUGUUCAUGAGUGGGUGAGAGAAAUAUUAGAGAAAUUGUGUGUGCGUGUGCGUGUGUGUAUGUGUAUAUAUGUGUGUUAGCUGGGUUUAGUGAGUGAGAGGUUGAGUCUCUUGGGACUCCCUCAUCACUUCAAUCACCGGCCCUUGACUAUUGGGAGACGUGUGGCAGAGUGAUU
rnacentral:lncRNA from 1 species